GGAAGUAAACGUCGUAACAAGGUUUCCGUAGGUGAACCUGCGGAAGGAUCAUUAUUGAAUGAAACACUUCUGGCUUUAUGCUGUUGUGCUGGCCCUUUGGGCAAUGUGCACACGGCUCUGGUCACUUGUUUCUUCUGUUCCACCUGUGCACUGCCUGUAGACACGCUGUGUCUAUGAUAUUUGUUAACACACAACAAUGUUAGUUGGCAUGUUAUAUAUAAUAAUAAAAUAUACAACUUUCAACAACGGAUCUCUUGGCUCUC
rnacentral:misc_RNA from 1 species